GCCCGGGUGGCGGAAUUGGUAGACGCGCAUGGUUGAGGGCCAUGUCAACGCAAGUUGGUACGAGUUCGAGUCUCGUUUCGGGCA
rnacentral:tRNA from 1 species